rnacentral:rRNA from 1 species
GAGUUUGAUCAUGGCUCANAGNGAACGCUGGCGGCAGGCCUAACACAUGCAAGUCGAGCGGCAGCGCGGGGGCAACCCUGGCGGCGAGCGGCGGACGGGUGAGGAAUGCGUCGGAAUCUGCCCAGUCGUGGGGGAUAACGUAGGGAAACUUACGCUGAUACCGCAUGCGCCCUAAGGGGGAAAGCGGGGGACCGAAAGGCCUCGCGCGAUUGAAUGAGCCGACGCCGGAUUAGCUAGUUGGUAGGGUAAAGGCCUACCAAGGCGACGAUCCGUAGCUGGUCUGAGAGGAUGAUCAGCCACACUGGGACUGAGACACGGCCCAGNCUCCUACGGGAGGCAGCAGUGGGGAAUAUUGGACAAUGGGCGCAAGCCUGAUCCAGCCAUGCCGCGUGUGUGAAGAAGGCCUUCGGGUUGUAAAGCACUUUUGUCCGGGAAGAAAACCCUGGGGCUAAUACC